rnacentral:rRNA from 1 species
GAUGAACGCUAGCGAUAGGCUUAACACAUGCAAGUCGAGGGGUAACGUGUUGGAAGCUUGCUUCCGAUGACGACGACCGGCGGAUGGGUGCGUAACGCGUAUGCAACUUGCCUCACAGUGGAGAAUAACCCGGAGAAAUCCGGACUAAUACUCCAUACACUCUUAAGUACGCCUGUACAUGAGAGGAAAGAUUUAUCGCUGUGAGAUAGGCAUGCGUCCUAUUAGGUAGUUGGUGAGGUAACGGCUCACCAAGCCGACGAUAGGUAGGGGUGCUGAGAGGCAGAUCCCCCACAUUGGGACUGAGACACGGCCCAAACUCCUACGGGAGGCAGCAGUGAGGAAUAUUGGUCCAUGGAGGAAACUCUGAACCAGCCAAGUCGCGUGAAGGAAGAAUGUCCUAAGGAUAGUAAACUUCUUUAGCGAGCGAGUAAGGACUUCCACGUGAUGGGAGUUUGAAAGUAGCUCGAGAAUAAAUAUCGGCUAACUCCGU